GGACUACUGGGGUUUCUAAUCCUGUUUGCUACCCAAGCCUUCGUCCCUCAACGUCAGUUUUCAGAUAAAAGGUUGCUUUCGCUGCUGCCAGUCGUCAUAGUAUCAACAAAUUUUAUCUCUACUCCAUGAAUACUCCCCUUCUCAUAUAAAACUCUAGCAAUACUGUAUCCUAUUUUGGACUGGUAAUGCCGUCUAGGUACCCUUUAAACCUAAUAAAGAUGAAUAACACUAGUCUUCUACGUAUUACCGCGGCUGCUGGCAC
rnacentral:rRNA from 1 species